UGAACUUGAACUCACAUCCAAGUCCCAGGCUACGAGGCUGGAAUCAGGUCAUCCAGAGAAGCCAGGGCUGUGUGGCAAAGAUGCUUCUCGCACAGCUGGAAUCUAGAUAGCAGAGGACCCCAGGCUGCCUUAUCUGGGACCCAGUGUUAGAUCAUCUUCGCUCCUCUCUCACUGGGAGUGUGCAAAGGGCAUGGCUGCACCCAGGGGAGCCCCUGCAGUGUGCGUUCAAAGGCCUGACAAUUCUGACCUUUCCCACCUCCUCCGAUGCACCAACCCUAAUAUGUCCUACAGAUGCUGUGAAACCCAUGAUCCCUGCCAAGAGCAGCAGCCAGAGAGCAAAGCCCCACAGGACAGGGAGCAGUGGUGCAGAGGUGAUCUGCUUGGUUCCAGUGAGGCUCCUGACCUGUGGUUCAAUGGCUCUGGACACAAGUGACUCUGAUCCUAGCAACCAGGCCUGGUGCUGGGAGAUGUGAAUUCUGAGCAUGGAGGGACUCGAAAGUCCAUCACAGUUGGGACCCAGCCUCACCUUGGCCAAGCAGAAAACCUUCCUAGCUGUGUGACCUUGGACAGCUUAAGUAAUUUUUCUGAAGUCAAGAUCUUUAUGACACUUAGGUCAGUUUCCCAAGGCUGAAUCCAGGACACUGAGCCACAAGCAAAAUUUGAAUAACUGAUAAUGAUCAGUGAGCUUGCUGUAUGUCCAGGACCAUGCUAAAUGAGACAUGUGUAUACAUGUAUUUGUAUAUGUAACAAGUGUGUAUACAAACAUACACAUAUAUAUUCUAAUUUAGCAAUCUCAAAAAUCCUAACAGGUGGACAUAUUAUCUUUAUCUUAUAGAUAUGGAGAGAGGUUGAGUAACAUCAAACCUAGUCAUGCCAAUUAAAGGUGGAACUGAUAUGAAGCAUAAGGGAGUAGAGGCAACCUGCUGAGGAGUGUUGAAUAACCAGAAGACCAGUUAUACCAGUAUUGAAGUGGGAGCAGUAGCUUUAACUAUCAUAAUCUUAUGUGGAUGUAAAGCACCUUGAAAUAAAGUAUGACCAGAGCACUGUUAUUUAUUUUAUCAAUCAUAGUUGUCUUCGAUGUUAAAUUCCUAUAGAAUGUCAACAUAUAAUAAUUAUAAAGUUUUACAGGUAAAAUUUGAGAUCAAGGGCCAGGGAUUUAACUCAGUGGCACUGUGCUUGUCUCGCAAGUGCAAGGUCCUGAGUUCGAUACCUGGUACAAAAGAAAAAAAUUGAGAUCAAGGGC
rnacentral:lncRNA from 1 species